CCUACGGGAGGCAGCAGUGGGGAAUAUUGCACAAUGGGGGAAACCCUGAUGCAGCGACGCCGCGUGAGUGAAGAAGUAUUUCGGUAUGUAAAGCUCUAUCAGCAGGGAAGAAAAUGACGGUACCUGAUUAAGAAGCCCCGGCUAACUCCGUGCCAGCAGCCGCGGUCAUACGUAGGGGGCAAGCGUUAUCCGGAUUUACUGGGUGUAAAGGGAGCGUAGACGGCAGCACAAGUCUGGAGUGAAAUGCCGGGGCUUAACCCCGGAACUGCUUUGGAAACUGUGCAGCUAGAGUGCAGGAGAGGUAAGUGGAAUUCCUAGUGUAGCGGUGAAAUGCGUAGAUAUUAGGAGGAACACCAGUGGCGAAGGCGGCUUACUGGACUGUAACUGACGUUGAGGCUCGAAAGCGUGGGGAGCAAACAGGAUUAGAUACCCGAGUAGUC
rnacentral:rRNA from 1 species